rnacentral:rRNA from 1 species
CGGAAUCUGCCUAUUUGUGGGGGAUAACGUAGGGAAACUUACGCUAAUACCGCAUACGACCUACGGGUGAAAGCGGAGGACCUUCGGGCUUCGCGCAGAUAGAUGAGCCGAUGUCGGAUUAGCUAGUUGGCGGGGUAAAGGCCCACCAAGGCGACGAUCCGUAGCUGGUCUGAGAGGAUGAUCAGCCACACUGGAACUGAGACACGGUCCAGACUCCUACGGGAGGCAGCAGUGGGGAAUAUUGGACAAUGGGCGCAAGCCUGAUCCAGCCAUGCCGCGUGGGUGAAGAAGGCCUUCGGGUUGUAAAGCCCUUUUGUUGGGAAAGAAAAGCAGUCGGUUAAUACCCGAUUGUUCUGACGGUGCCCAAAGAAUAAGCACCGGCCAACUUCGUGCCAGCAGCCGCGGUAAUACGAAGGGUGCAAGCGUUACUCGGAAUUACUGGGCGUAAAGCGUGCGUAGGUGGUUUGUUAAGUCUGAUGUGAAAGCCCUGGGCUCAACCUGGGAAUUGCAUUGGAUACUGGCAGGCUAGAGUGCGGUAGAGGGUAGUGGAAUUCCCGGU